UGCGGCGUGGCUGGAGAUGGUUCCAGUCUUGGCUCAUAACCAAGUUGACGCGGGUUCGAAUCCCGCCGCCGCUA
rnacentral:tRNA from 1 species